AGGCCGGGAGGUAGAAGGAGGCUUGGAACCGGCCAUUGAGAAUUUUCAGCACUUUUAAUAUUUCCGCUUUUCUCUCCCCUCCCCGUCGCCCACCCCUCGGGUACCAUGGCCCUUGGUACCCUCCAAGCAGGGCUGUCAUCGCCCUGCGGAUGAGCAGCCUGCCUGACCCGGCACUGCCGCAGAGGCAGAGAAGAGAGGAAGGAGGCCAGCCAGCCGCAUCCAGGCCUAGCUAGCCGCAGUGGGGCUGGCCAGAUACCACUGGGGCACCAUGGGCAAUAGCUGGAUGGAGACUGGCUGAGGAAGAGGAGGAGAUGUCACCGAGGAAGAUCUCAACCCCCCUGUUGGUCCUGCCACCUAGACGCGAAGAGUCUCUUCAUCUCGCAGGUCAGACUCCAUCCCUCACUUCCCGUCCCGGUCCGGGACCAAAGGAAAUUGGGAAAAGCCGAGAUUCCCCUCGGAAGGGAAAAUGCGAGAUUCCACCAGCUCCUUUUGGGGUGUCAGAUUUGGGAGACCUUCGGAGGUGUGGAAAUGAUUUAUAAAUGCAACGGGACAAAGGCAAGCGACUUUGCAGUCGAAUCUCCUGCAGGCUGAGGACAGUGGAAGGAUCCAAAGAGCAAAAACAUCCCAGCCAGAGGUGAGUGGAAAAUAUCCCUUCACGCACAUUGGUUGUGAAAGAGAAAUAG
rnacentral:lncRNA from 1 species